CAUGGUCUAUUUGUUGUGGGCAAAUAAAGUGAAUGUGCGUAUCGAUGCCCCCAGCGGUAGCUAUCAAGCCUGCACCGCCAUGCACCUCUGUCGAUGCGCCGAUAACCAUAUUGGGCGUUACACCAUCCAUAGUAUCCGGGUUACCCGCUUUGCCAAUACCGACUAUCUUACCAUCCUUAAUACCGAUAUCACCUUUAACAAUCCCCCAAUGAUCGAUGAUCAUCACGCUGGUGAUCACAAAAUCGAGCACAUUAUCGGCGCGUAUUUUGGUUGCCGAUUGCGCCAUGCCAUCGCGGAUG
rnacentral:sRNA from 1 species